UUAAACGAGGUUCCUCUGAACCCACAUAUGUGGAUCCAAUUCCUGCAUCAAUCUAUCAGAAUGUGCCUUUAAUUAAUCCAAAUCCAGAUGAAGAUGUAGAGACAUAUGAAUAUGUAAAUGUGUUUCCCACUCUACUAAAAACAGUCAAUCAAGACUCAGAUAGCUCUGAUUAUGAGAAUGCAGAAUUCUUGCACACAAUUAAAGAGGAAGAAGAGGACGAUGAGCCGGAUUAUAUCAAUGCUGAAAGUGAAAUUACAGCCUGACAACACUGUGUGCUUCCAGAGGAUGUUUCAACCAAACCUGCACUUGUGAGGAGUCAUAAGACAAAUGAAGUAUUCAUCCAGCUGAAUGACGAACAAGUAACAGCUGUAAAGACCACAGAAAGCUACAGAAAGCCAUUUUAUCUGUCAAUAUUUAUUUAAUGCAGAUUUGGAGAGCAUAAUCACAAAGCCACUUCCUUCAAAUGAAUUGUUCUGUUUGUUGAGCAGAGUGGUGUGUGCCUAACUUUAAGGAUCUUGCAUUAACCUCUGCAACACAUUUUGGGACCACGGUACUUAAUGGGGAGCAUAGCAUUUACAGUAACUUGUGGUACCAUUAAACUUUGAUCUUCUUGUCCGUUCAAACACUUCACUUAGACAAGGAAC